rnacentral:rRNA from 1 species
UUUUAUGAGAGUUUGAUCCUGGCUCAGGACGAACGCUGGCGGCGUGCCUAAUACAUGCAAGUCGAACGCUUCUUUUUCCACCGGAGCUUGCUCCACCGGAAAAAGAGGAGUGGCGAACGGGUGAGUAACACGUGGGUAACCUGCCCAUCAGAAGGGGAUAACACUUGGAAACAGGUGCUAAUACCGUAUAACAAUCGAAACCGCAUGGUUUUGAUUUGAAAGGCGCUUUCGGGUGUCGCUGAUGGAUGGACCCGCGGUGCAUUAGCUAGUUGGUGAGGUAACGGCUCACCAAGGCCAUAGCCGACCUGAGAGGGUGAUCGGCCACAUUGGGACUGAGACACGGCCCAAACUCCUACGGGAGGCAGCAGUAGGGAAUCUUCGGCAAUGGACGAAAGUCUGACCGAGCAACGCCGCGUGAGUGAAGAAGGUUUUCGGAUCGUAAAACUCUGUUGUUAGAGAAGAACAAGGAUGAGAGUAACUGUUCAUCCCUUGACGGUAUCUAACCAGAAAGCCACGGCUAACUACGUGCCAGCAGCCGCGGUAAUACGUAGGUGGCAAGCGUUGUCCGGAUUUAUUGGGCGUAAAGCGAGCGCAGGCGGUUUCUUAAGUCUGAUGUGAAAGCCCCCGGCUCAACCGGGGAGGGUCAUUGGAAACUGGGAGACUUGAGUGCAGAAGAGGAGAGUGGAAUUCCAUGUGUAGCGGUGAAAUGCGUAGAUAUAUGGAGGAACACCAGUGGCGAAGGCGGCUCUCUGGUCUGUAACUGACGCUGAGAGGUUGAAACUCAAAGGAAUUGACGGGGGCCCGCACAAGCGGUGGAGCAUGUGGUUUAAUUCGAAGCAACGCGAAGAACCUUACCAGGUCUUGACAUCCUUUGACCACUCUAGAGAUAGAGCUUCCCCUUCGGGGGCAAAGUGACAGGUGGUGCAUGGUUGUCGUCAGCUCGUGUCGUGAGAUGUUGGGUUAAGUCCCGCAACGAGCGCAACCCUUAUUGUUAGUUGCCAUCAUUUAGUUGGGCACUCUAGCAAGACUGCCGGUGACAAACCGGAGGAAGGUGGGGAUGACGUCAAAUCAUCAUGCCCCUUAUGACCUGGGCUACACACGUGCUACAAUGGGAAGUACAACGAGUCGCAAAGUCGCGAGGCUAAGCUAAUCUCUUAAAGCUUCUCUCAGUUCGGAUUGUAGGCUGCAACUCGCCUACAUGAAGCCGGAAUCGCUAGUAAUCGCGGAUCAGCACGCCGCGGUGAAUACGUUCCCGGGCCUUGUACACACCGCCCGCCGCCUAAGGUGGGAUAGAUGAUUGGGGUGAAGUCGUAACAAGGUAGCCGUAUCGGAAGGUGCGGCUGGAUCACCUCCUUU